rnacentral:rRNA from 1 species
AUUGAACGCUGGCGGCAGGCCUAACACAUGCAAGUCGAACGAGUUGCGGACGGGUGAGUAAUGUAUGGGCAACUGCCCGAUAGAGGGGGAUAACUACUGGAAACGGUAGCUAAUACCGCAUACCAUCGGAUGUGCCCCGAUGGUCAUGGCUUGUAGGUGAGGUAACGGCUCACCUAGGCGACGAUCCCUAGCUGGUUUGAGAGGAUGACCAGCAACACUGUAACUGUGACAAGGUCCAGACUCCUACGGGAGGCAGCAGGGGGGAAUAGUGCACAAUGGGCGCAAGCCUGAUGCAGCCAUGCCGCGGGGAUGAAGAAGGCCUUCGGGUUGUAAAGUACUUGCAGUGGGGAGGCGUUACCCGCAGAAGAAGCCCCGGCUAACUCCGUGCCAGCAGCCGCGGUAAUAC